UACGUAGGGGGCAAGCGUUGUCCGGAUUUACUGGGCGUAAAGAGCGUGUAGGCGGCCACGCAGGUCCGUUGUGAAAACUGGAGGCUCAACUUCCAGCCGUCGACGGAAACCGUGUGGCUAGAGUCCGGAAGAGGAGAGCGGAAUUCCUGGUGUAGCGGUGAAAUGCGCAGAUAUCAGGAAGAACACCAAUGGCGAAGGCAGCUCUCUGGGACGGUACUGACGCUGAGACGCGAAAGCGUGGGGAGCGAACAGG
rnacentral:rRNA from 1 species